AACGAACGCUGGCGGCAGGCCUAGCACAUGCAAGUCGAGCGCGCCCUUCGGGGUGAGCGGCGGACGGGUGAGUAACGCGUGGGAACGUGCCCUUUUCUACGGAAUAGCCUCGGGAAACUGAGAGUAAUACCGUAUACGCCCUUUGGGGGAAAGAUUUAUCGGAAAAGGAUCGGCCCGCGUUGGAUUAGGAAGUUGGUGGGGUAAUGGCCUACCAAGCCGACGAUCCAUAGCUGGUUUGAGAGGAUGAUCAGCCACACUGGGACUGAGACACGGCCCAGACUCCUACGGGAGGCAGCAGUGGGGAAUCUUAGACAAUGGGGGCAACCCUGAUCUAGCCAUGCCGCGUGAGUGAUGAAGGCCUUAGGGUUGUAAAGCUCUUUCAGCUGGGAAGAUAAUGACGGUACCAGCAGAAGAAGCCCCGGCUAACUCCGUG
rnacentral:rRNA from 1 species